GACGAACGCUGGCGGCGUGCUUAACACAUGCAAGUCGAACGAAGAGCGAUGGAAGCUUGCUUCUAUCAAUCUUAGUGGCGAACGGGUGAGUAACGCGUAAUCAACCUGCCCUUCAGAGGGGGACAACAGUUGGAAACAACUGCUAAUACCGCAUACGAUCUAACCUCGGCAUCGAGGAAAGAUGAAAGGUGGCCUCUAUGUAUAAGCUAUCACUGAAGGAGGGGAUUGCGUCUGAUUAGCUAGUUGGAGGGGUAACGGCCCACCAAGGCGAUGAUCAGUAGCCGGUCUGAGAGGAUGAACGGCCACAUUGGGACUGAGACACGGCCCAGACUCCUACGGGAGGCAGCAGUGGGGAAUCUUCCGCAAUGGACGAAAGUCUGACGGAGCAACGCCGCGUGAGUGAUGACGGCCUUCGGGUUGUAAAGCUCUGUUAAUCGGGACGAAAGGCCUUCUUGCGAAUAGUUAGGAGGAUUGACGGUACCGGAAUAGAAAGCCACGGCUAACUACGUG
rnacentral:rRNA from 1 species